UGCCAAACCCUAAUCCUUAUUUUUUGGCUCCAAAUCGUUAUGGCCGUUAGAUGAAUUAUCCAUCUGUUUCCAAUAAACAAUUUCUUUCAAUUUUAAGUCACAAGUUCAUUGGUAACUACACUUCACACCAAUAUUCUCCUCUACUUUCCAAUAUUCACCUACCACUACCGAACUCUCUCUCCAUUGCCUCCCUCCGUCGUCUCAUCUUCCACUACCGAAGGCACAUCUCCUCCCUCCUCUUGGCCCACCACCGAAGACAACUCCCUGUCUUCAGCCUAAUUUCUUAUUUCCUUCCUGUUUACCACAAUUUUCUCACUCACAGGUUUUCUGCAACACAAAGCGGCGGAGGUCGGAGCUGGUUGUGAUGGACGGUCUCGCAAUUUAAAAGUUGUGUACCCAUUUGAUUAAUUCAUUCUCCAAGUUUCAAUUUAUCAUUCUUAUUUAAUCUUAAACUAAUUUUUUCUUUCUUCUUUUUGUUUUUGUUAGGUUAUCCACCUUCCUCUAAUCCCCCAAUCAUGAAAGUCAUCUCCCCCCUUUAUAGUUAUCCUAUUAAUUUCAAUUUUCAUUUUUUUUUUCCAUCUUCUGCUUAUAUUUUUUAGGAUCUGAGGGUAUCUGUCAUUGGCAUUUUAUUUUAAGCAUUGGGUUUUUAUUUCAUUCUAAUUUCUUGCUCUUAUACCCAACGCCUCUUUCUUUGUAGUGCUUUUAUUUCAUUCUAAUUUCUUGCACUUAUAGAUUAUUUUGUGAAUAUUUCCACCAAGUUUUUUCAUGUGCUCAAUGCUAAUUGCCCAAUCUUUCUAUAUGGCAGUUCCAAGGAUGAUUGCAUAACCUUUCAUCUUUACAUCACACUCCAUUUUUCACAUGUUAGUUACAUAAUUUUUCUCAAUUUUAUCUAAAUUUUUUCUCAAUUUUAUCUAAAUGGGUGAUUUGUUUCGACGUUUAUGUUUCUUUUGUAUCUAAAUGAGUGAUUUGUAUCUGUAUGAUUGUAUAGAUACAUUGUGUCGUCUAUAAAAACUUUUAACAAGGUUUGCUCUAACUUUGGAUAAAAUAGUAGAGUUUGAGUUAGAAGCUAACAUAUUGUGUAGUAUAAUGUAAAUUUGAUAUUUUCAAACUUGGCGGUGUUGUAUUCAUAUUUUUUAAACUGAUGGUGUUUUGGUCUGGAAGAAAGUAAUUUUGGUAUGUUUUGUGUUGCUUUUGUAUCUGCUGCUAUAGAGUUAUAAAUUGAUGGUUUGUCGGUUUUGUGUCUUGGUGUUUUGUUAAUGUCUAUUAUGUUAUUUUCCCAUUGAGUCCUGCUGUUUUUUCAGUAUAUGGCUGUUAAGGUUUGUCUUUUUGCCGGUUGUUGCUAAUGUAAUCUAUUUUCAAUUGUGUAUCUUUUCCUGUUAGUGCAGAGGUGUUGUAAUUUCUAUCCCAAAUCCGGUUAUGCCUUCAUGAUUGCAUUUUUUAACUACAAUUUUAGUGUUAUUUUAGAUUAAAUUGUUUCUGUUUGUUUUUUUAUUCUUUUCAAUCAACCAAUUAUAUUGAUAAACUACACAUCUAGGCACAAGGUAUAACCAGAAUGCACAAGAAGAUUACAUUAAAACUACCAAUGCACUGACGUAGGAAAACAGGAAAAAAAAAUAGCAAAAGCUUGCUGAAAAUAUCAAAUUAAAAUUUGCACUAAAACUGAACAUACCAACUGCAGGCAAAAAUGCCUAAAAAACCAUAUGCAAGUACAAAAGAAAAUUGCUUUGAACUGCAUACCCGACAGUAAAAACAAUGCAGAAUUUGGACGUUCCUCUUCAAAUAAUUGUUGGAGAUUGGUUUGUUUGUUUUUCAAUUUAGGAUUUGCAUAUUGGUGAUUUCACAAAUCAAGGUAAUUGUUCACAUAAAUAAUCGUCCGAAGGCAUAACCGGAUUGAAUGCAUGGAAGCUUUUUUUCUUCAUAUUUAUGGUUUUAGGAUAAAUAUGUUUAAAUGUCUUUGUGUAUAUCUACUUUGCUUUCAACUGAUUCUUUCUAUCUGAUUUCCAUUCAUGGCUUAGGUGAUUUUUGCUUUUGGUUGCUUUUGCUUUAGGUGACUUAUGAUUCUUCUAUUGUCUCUUAUGUUGCUGCCUAUUGAGCAAAAUCAAACCCUCCUUUCAAGUGAGCCUUGAAAUAAUCCAUAUCCUCGAAAUAAUCCAUAUCCUCAACAAAAAAUUGCUUCUUUAUUAUUUUUUUAUUUUUGCUGAUGUAUAAGUUUUACUCUGUUUCCUUACAUACACUAAUAUAACUUAUUUCAGUACUAAUGUAGGUAACAUGUGCCUUAACAUUGUUGAAAACGGAAUAAUGGAUUAACAAAUUAGGUUAUAGCGAUGAAGAAGUUUCUAAAAUGAUAAAUAUUCUUUGCAUUAAGGUUGUCUAGAACCAUUGUUAUGUCAUGCUGCCAUAUGUCAUUCAAUAGCAGCAAACUAAAUGGAGAAUCAACUGCAAUCAAAUUUACUUUUAAAAACAAUCAUUUAGGUAGUUAAUCAAAGUGAUUUUAUAUUAUGCUACUGGAACUCUUCUUCUGAAUUAAUAGAUUUAAUUGAAGAUAUGAACUGUGGUCAUGAAUUUACUAAUCAUUUCGACAAAUAGUUAAUAUGUAGCUAUGUUCAAUUUGCUAAUAAUGUUCUUUAUCUUCUCAUAUUCAUAUUCCGCUUGAGUCUUUUUGCUCUUUUUUUUACAAUUUCUACUACCAUUCCUAUUAUUGUUUAUCUUUUUUUGACAUCUCAGUUAUUUUUUUCCUUUCUCGAGGGGUUAUUAAAUUGGCAAUUGUCAGUUUUUUUUCCUUUCAAUGUGAAGACAAGGCUUUUUUUAGUUGACUCUUUUGUAUCCCUUUGUUAGUUUAUAGUUUUUUAUGCAAUACUUAGAUGUACAUGUGGUAUGCCUUUUAAUUAUCUAGGUGAGAAGCAUUCCUUGGCCUGAUAUGAGUUUAUUAAUAUGCUUUUGUUGUCCUUAGGGAAGCCAAUCUUCUGCAUGUCCUUAUAAUUUGUUUUUUGCUUUUAUAUAUUCGAGAUUGGAUAUGGACAAUGAAAGGUUGACUUGAGUCAUGCCUUUUGGUGUGUUGAUAAAUCAAGUGGUGCGGCCUUCUUGAGCAGUGCAAGACAUUUUUUCUGUCAUUACAGAAAUUUCAUCUUGGUUUUCUACUUGAUGAUGCUUCAAUAAUACGGGUUUCUACUUAAUUAGUAGAGUUGAUUUGGUUUGUAUUGUUCCAAGUUUGUUUUUUGUUUUUGAUUUGUUUAGUGAGGAGUCUAGAACCGGCAUGGUCUUGGUUGUUUUGUGUAUUUACAUAGUUGCUCUUUUGUAUACAGGACUCUGUAUCUGUUUUUCAAAUAUAUCAUGUAUUAAGAUGUGUUCUUCAUAAA